rnacentral:misc_RNA from 1 species
GGCAGCCAGAAGAGCACGUAUACGCAAGGCUGUC